AUUCAGCUGACGAAUCCCAAAUAGGACGAAACGUGCGUCCUGGUU
rnacentral:hammerhead_ribozyme from 1 species